GUGCUUGCUUCAGUAGCUCAUCUGCCAAAAUCGGAAGGACGCAGAGAUUAGCAUGGCCUCUGUGUGAUGAUGGCAUACAAAUUCGGGAUGUGUUCCAUGUUUUU
ensembl:snRNA LOC120095369 U6 spliceosomal RNA